CUGCUCAGUAACACGUGGACAACCUACCCUUAGGUCGGGGAUAAACCCGGGAAACUGGGUAUAAUACCCGAUAGAUCUCGACUGCUGGAAUGCAUCGAGAUCCAAAGCUCCGGCGCCUAAGGAUGGGUCUGCGGCCUAUCAGGUAGUAGUGGGUGUAGCGUACCUACUAGCCUACGACGGGUACGGGUUGUGAGAGCAAGAGCCCGGAGAUGGAUUCUGAGACACGAAUCCAGGCCCUACGGGGUGCAGCAGGCGCGAAAACUUUACAAUGCUGGAAACAGCGAUAAGGGGACCUCGAGUGCCAGGUUACAAAUCUGGCUGUCGUGAUGCCUAAAAAGCAUUGCAUAGCAAGGGCCGGGCAAGACCGGUGCCAGCCGCCGCGGUAACACCGGCGGCUCGAGUGGUAACCGUUAUUAUUGGGUCUAAAGGGUCUGUAGCCGGCCGGAUAAGUCUCUUGGGAAAUCCAGCAGCUCAACUGUUGGGCUUUCAGGAGAUACUGUCUGGCUCGAGGCCGGGAGAGGUGAGAGGUACUUCAGGGGUAGGGGUGAAAUCUUGUAAUCCUUGAAGGACCACCAGUGGCGAAGGCGUCUCACCAGAACGGACCUGACGGCAAGGGACGAAAGCUAGGGGCACGAACCGGAUUAGAUACCCGGGUAGUCCUAGCC
rnacentral:rRNA from 1 species